rnacentral:rRNA from 1 species
UAAGGAAUAUUGGUCAAUGGACGCAAGUCUGAACCAGCCAUGCCGCGUGAAGGAUGAAGGUCCUCUAGAUUGUAAACUUCUUUUAUCUGGGACGAAAACGGGAUUUUUAUCUCAAUUGACGGUACCAGAGGAAUAAGCACCGGCUAACUCCGUGCCAGCAGCCGCGGUAAUACGGAGGGUGCGAGCGUUAUCCGGAUUUACUGGGUUUAAAGGGUGCGUAGGUGGGCUUAUAAGUCAGUGGUGAAAUCUCCGAGCUUAACUUGGAAACUGCCGUUGAUACUAUAGGUCUUGAAUUAUCUGGAGGUAAGCGGAAUAUGGCAUGUAGCGGUGAAAUGCGUAGAUAUGACAUAGAACACCAAUUGCGAAGGCAGCUUACUACAUAUAAAUUGACGCUGAGGCACGAAAGCGUGGGGAUCAAACA